rnacentral:lncRNA from 1 species
AUUCAAUAGAGUGACUACUGCUUUGACUGAGUUUCAGAAAUCAACUUUUUGAAAUUAAAACUUAUUCAAUUUUAAUGUAUUUCAUCAUAACAUAAGGUUCUUGAACUAGAAACUACCUAAGAUAAUGUUAUAUUCUCUCCUUAACAACAGUUAGACUUCUUUACACUUACCUGAGGCUUCUCUGAGAAGAUUCCUACCCCUUCUCCCUUAGCAGCACUGCCUUCUUUUAUUACAAUUACUUCAAUGCAGUCUGGAUAGAAUGUGUUUGCUAGAUUUUGUUCCUCUGACUCCAUAUCUAGAAUCAGUACAACCAAUAGUAAAAAAAAAAAAAAAAAUUAAAAAAAUGUAGCAGAUGAAUUCAGAACCCACAGGAACAUUCUUAUCAUAUUUUUGAGGUUUUGACUAUAAAGGUAGGUAUAGAGGGAACUUGGAGAGUCAUGUAAAAAAACUAUAGUAGUAUGGAAAUAUCCAUAGAAGAUCAGUAAUUCAUUUAAAACAAUUGAACUGCAGCCGUAGUCAGCAUAGUGUCUCCUUGUUAUACGUUUUUUUUUUUUUUAUCCUUAGCAACAGAUAUGAGAUCCUUAUUUCAAGAAAAAUAAGAUACUUUACAUGCCAGAAGAUUUUUUUUGAUGACAGUACCCCCUCCUAUUCUUCAUUUUUUAAAACAACAACCAAAUUGGUAGGGAGGCAGCCAAAAUUUGAGGUACCAAUGCUUCUCGAACAGAUGUCGCACCAUUAUUUUUUAGCUCGUUUAGAUGAAUAAACAUGUUAAACUGUGAAGUAUUACAUUUUAGAUUUUUUCAUUAAAAAAAGAGACAAUCUGUUUACUGUCCUAAUUGAGACAACAAUCCUUGUGGUUGCCAGUUUUGGCAGUCAUAACAAUGAACUAUAAAUAUUUG